AAUUUUGGACAAUGGGGGAAACCCUGAUCCAGCCAUCCCGCGUGUAUGAUGAAGGCCUUCGGGUUGUAAAGUACUUUUGGCAGAGAAGAAAAGGUACCUCCUAAUACGAGGUACUGCUGACGGUAUCUGCAGAGUAAGCACCGGCUAACUACGUGCCAGCAGCCGCGGUAAUACGAAGGGUGCAAGCGUUGAUCGGAAUUACUGGGCGUAAAGGGCGCGUAGGCGGAUCGGAAAGAAAGAGGUGAAAUCCCAGGGCUCAACCUUGGAACUGCAUUUGUUACUGGCGAUCUAGAGUAUGAGAGAGGGAGGUAGAACUCCGAGUGUAGAAGUGAAAUGCGUAGAUAUGUGGAAGAACACCGAUGGCGAAGGCAGCACACUGGCAUAAUACUGACGCUCAGACACGAAAGCGUGGGGAGCAAACA
rnacentral:rRNA from 1 species